rnacentral:rRNA from 1 species
GCUAGGAUGAACGCUGGCGGCGUGCCUAACACAUGCAAGUCGAACGAGCGAGAGAUGAAACCUAGUGAUUCUCGAGCGAGUGGCGGACGGGUGAGUAACGCGUGGGUAACCUGCCUUACAGAGGGGGAUAACAGUCUGAAAAGACUGCUAAUACCGCAUAAGCACACAGUACCGCAUGGUACAGGGUGAAAAGAUUUAUCACUGUAAGAUGGACCCGCGUCUGAUUAGCCAGUUGGCAGGGUAACGGCCUACCAAAGCGACGAUCAGUAGCCGACCUGAGAGGGUGAUCGGCCACAUUGGGACUGAGACACGGCCCAAACUCCUACGGGAGGCAGCAGUGGGGGAUAUUGCACAAUGGAGGAAACUCUGAUGCAGCGAACCGCCGCGUGAGUGAAGAAGUAUUUCGGUAUGUAAAGCUCUAUCAGCAGGGAAGAUAAUGACAGUACCCGACCAAGAAGCCCCGGCUAACUACGUGCCAGCAGCAGC